rnacentral:rRNA from 1 species
CCUACGGGGGGCUGCAGUAACGAAUCUUCCCCAAUGCGCGAAAGCGUGAGGGAGCGACGCCGCGUGCGGGACGAAGUCCUUCGGGAUGUAAACCGCUGUCAGGGGAUACCAAGUUCUGAGGAUCCCCAGAGGAAGGGGCGGCUAACUCUGUGCCAGCAGCCGCGGUAAGACAGAGGCCCCAAGCGUUAGGCGGAAUCACUGGGCUUAAAGCGUGUGUAGGCGGAUCGUUAAGUGUCUUGUGAAAUCCCCCGGCUCACCCGGGGAACUGCUGGGCAUACUGGCGAUCUUGGGCCAACUAGGGGCAGCCGGAACAAGCGGUGGAGCGGUGAAAUGCGUAGAUAUCGCUUGGAACGCCGAAGGUGAAAACAGGCUGCUGGGGUUGCGCCGACGCUGAGACACGAAAGCCAGGGGAGCAAACGGGAUUAGAUACCCCAGUAGUC